rnacentral:rRNA from 1 species
GGACGGAACGGGUGAAGUAAUACAGUACGGAACGUACCGUGUAGGUAGGGGAUAACGUAGACGAAAGUUACGCUAAUACCGCAUACGAUCCACGGAUGAAAGCAGGGGACCUUCGGGCCUUGUGCUAUACGAGCGGCCGAUGUCUGAUUAGCUAGUUGGUGAGGUAAAGGCUCACCAAGGCGACGAUCAGUAGCGGGUCUGAGAGGAUGAUCCGCCACACUGGGACUGAGACACGGCCCAGACUCCUACGGGAGGCAGCAGUGGGGAAUUUUGGACAAUGGGCGCAAGCCUGAUCCAGCCAUGCCGCGUGUCUGAAGAAGGCCUUCGGGUUGUAAAGGACUUUUGUCAGGGAGCAAAACUUACUGGUUAAUACCUGGUGAGGUUGAGAGUACCUGAAGAAUAAGCACCGGCUAACUACGUGCCAGCAGCCGCGGUAAUACGUAGGGUGCAAGCGUUAAUCGGAAUUACUGGGCGUA